AAAUUGAAGAGUUUGAUCAUGGCUCAGAUUGAACGCUGGCGGCAGGCCUAACACAUGCAAGUCGAACGGUAACAGGAAGCAGCUUGCUGCUUUGCUGACGAGUGGCGGACGGGUGAGUAAUGUCUGGGAAACUGCCUGAUGGAGGGGGGUAACUACUGGAAACGGUGGCUAAUACCGCAUAACGUCGCAAGACCAAAGAGGGGGACCUUCGGGCCUCUUGCCAUCAGAUGUGCCCAGAUGGGAUUAGCUUGUUGGUGAGGUAACGGCUCACCAAGGCGACGAUCCCUAGCUGGUCUGAGAGGAUGACCAGCCACACUGGAACUGAGACACGGUCCAGACUCCUACGGGAGGCAGCAGUGGGGAAUAUUGCACAAUGGGCGCAAGCCUGAUGCAGCCAUGCCGCGUGUAUGAAGAAGGCCUUCGGGUUGUAAAGUACUUUCAGCGGGGAGGAAGGUGUUG
rnacentral:rRNA from 2 species